rnacentral:rRNA from 1 species
UACGUAGGGAGCGAGCGUUGUCCGGAAUUACUGGGUGUAAAGGGAGCGUAGGCGGGACUGCAAGUUGGGUGCCAAAUCUACCGGCUCAACCGGUAGCCGCACUCAAAACUGCAGUUCUUGAGUGAAGUAGAGGCAGGCGGAAUUCCUAGUGUAGCGGUGAAAUGCGUAGAUAUUAGGAGGAACACCAGUGGCGAAGGCGGCCUGCUGGGCUUUUACUGACGCUGAGGCUCGAAAGUGUGGGGAGCAAACAGG